rnacentral:rRNA from 1 species
GACGUAGGGGGCAAGCGUUGUCCGGAUUUAUUGGGCGUAAAGAGCGUGUAGGCGGCCAAAUAGGUCGGUUGUGAAAACUGGAGGCUUAACCUCCAGACGUCGACCGAAACCAUCUGGCUAGAGUCCGGAAGAGGAGAGUGGAAUUCCUGGUGUAGCGGUGAAAUGCGCAGAUAUCAGGAAGAACACCCGUGGCGAAGGCGGCUCUCUGGGACGGUACUGACGCUGAGACGCGAAAGCGUGGGGAGCGAACAGG